rnacentral:rRNA from 1 species
CGGGAGGCAGCAGUGGGGAAUAUUGGACAAUGGGGGCAACCCUGAUCCAGCCAUGCCGCGUGUGUGAAGAAGGUCUUCGGAUUGUAAAGCACUUUAAGUUGGGAGGAAGGGCAUUAACCUAAUACGUUAGUGUUUUGACGUUACCGACAGAAUAAGCACCGGCUAACUCUGUGCCAGCAGCCGCGGUAAUACAGAGGGUGCGAGCGUUAAUCGGAAUUACUGGGCGUAAAGCGAGUGUAGGUGGCUCAUUAAGUCACAUGUGAAAUCCCCGGGCUUAACCUGGGAACUGCAUGUGAUACUGGUGGUGCUAGAAUAUGUGAGAGGGAAGUAGAAUUCCAGGUGUAGCGGUGAAAUGCGUAGAGAUCUGGAGGAAUACCGAUGGCGAAGGCAGCUUCCUGGCAUAAUAUUGACACUGAGAUUCGAAAGCGUGGGUAGCAAACAGGAUUAGAUACCCUGGUAGUCCACGCCGUAAACGAUGUCUACUAGCCGUUGGGGUCCUUGAGACUUUAGUGGCGCAGUUAACGCGAUAAGUAGACCGCCUGGGGAGUACGGCCGCAAGGUUAAAACUCAAAUGAAUUGACGGGGGCCCGCACAAGCGGUGGAGCAUGUGGUUUAAUUCGAUGCAACGCGAAGAACCUUACCUGGUCUUGACAUAGUGAGAAUCUUUCAGAGAUGAGAGAGUGCCUUCGGGAAUUCACAUACAGGUGCUGCAUGGCUGUCGUCAGCUCGUGUCGUGAGAUGUUGGGUUAAGCCCCGCAACGAGCGCAACCCUCGUUCUAUGUUGCCAGCACGUGAUGGUGGGGACUCAUAGGAGACUGCCGGGGUCAACUCGGAGGAAGGUGGGGAUGACGUCAAAUCAUCAUGCCCCUUAUGACCUGGGCUACACACGUGCUACAAUGGCUGGUACAACGAGUCGCAAGUCGGUGACGGCAAGCUAAUCUCUUAAAGCCAGUCUCAGUUCGGAUUGUAGGCUGCAACUCGCCUACAUGAAGUCGGAAUCGCUAGUAAUCGCGGAUCAGCAUGUCGCGGUGAAUACGUUCCCGGGUCUUGU